UGGGGUGUAGCUCAGUGGCAGAGUGCUUGCCUAGCAUGUGUGAUGCAGAGUUCUAUCCUCAGCACCACAU
rnacentral:tRNA from 1 species